UGGGGAAUAUUGCACAAUGGGCGCAAGCCUGAUGCAGCCAUGCCGCGUGUAUGAAGAAGGCCUUCGGGUUGUAAAGUACUUUCAGCGGGGAGGAAGGUGUUGUGGUUAAUAACCUCAGCAAUUGACGUUACCCGCAGAAGAAGCACCGGCUAACUCCGUGCCAUCAGCCGCGGUAAUACGGAGGGUGCAAGCGUUAAUCGGAAUUACUGGGCGUAAAGCGCACGCAGGCGGUCUGUCAAGUCGGAUGUGAAAUCCCCGGGCUCAACCUGGGAACUGCAUCCGAAACUGGCAGGCUUGAGUCUUGUAGAGGGGGGUAGAAUUCCAGGUGUAGCGGUGAAAUGCGUAGAGAUCUGGAGGAAUACCGGUGGCGAAGGCGGCCCCCUGGACAAAGACUGACGCUCAGGUGCGAAAGCGUGGGGAGCAAACA
rnacentral:rRNA from 1 species